UGUGAUAAUUAUAACGAGACCUGCUGAAAGUUGCUGAGAAAAAAACUACGCACGGUAUGACAAAUUUAAGAGUGUAACAAAAUGUGAUAUAUUUCAAGGAUACUGGACUCAAAAAAGAUCUCUUUAUUAUGUCCCAUACCAGAUUAACGGGUAAACACAAUAACGAGGAUCAAGUCAAGGGGAUUAACUCGGUAGAACGAGAGAAAACUCCCGUUAUUCUGGUGCAAGUAUUUUUCUUGGUGAUGUUAUGCUUAGGAAUCGCCAUCGUUUGGCAAGUCCAUAUUCUGAAUCGACUUCUCUGGGAAAUGAACGGAGAGCUUGAAAAACUUAAAUCGCUUACAAACGGUGCUAUAAUUGACAAAACAUUGAAAAGUAUUAUGAAUGUAGACUAAUUUCUUUCAGAAAGAAAAAUUGUGUUAGAAAAUAAAUUUGUUUUAAUGAUGAAAGA